rnacentral:rRNA from 1 species
GAUGAACGCUGGCGGCGUGCUUAACACAUGCAAGUCGAACGAAGCUGUUGUUUGGAGACCUUCGGGUGGAAGAAUGACAGACUGAGUGGCGGACGGGUGAGUAACGCGUGGGUAACCUACCUUGCACAGGGGGACAACAGUUGGAAACGACUGCUAAUACCGCAUAAGACCACAGUACCGCAUGGUACAGGGGUAAAAACUGAGGUGGUGCAAGAUGGACCCGCGUCUGAUUAGCUAGUUGGUGGGGUAAAGGCCUACCAAGGCGACGAUCAGUAGCCGACCUGAGAGGGUGAUCGGCCACAUUGGGACUGAGACACGGCCCAAACUCCUACGGGAGGCAGCAGUGGGGAAUAUUGGACAAUGGGGGGAACCCUGAUCCAGCGACGCCGCGUGAGUGAAGAAGUAUUUCGGUAUGUAAAGCUCUAUCAGCAGGGAAGAAAAUGACGGUACCUGACUAAGAAGCCCCGGCUAACUACGUGC